CCUACGGGUGACAGCAGUCGAGAAUCAUUCACAAUGGGGGAAACCCUGAUGGUGCGACGCCGCGUGGGGGAAUGAAGGUCUUCGGAUUGUAAACCCCUGUCAUGUGGGAGCAAAUUAAAAAGAUAGUACCACAAGAGGAAGAGACGGCUAACUCUGUGCCAGCAGCCGCGGUAAUACAGAGGUCUCAAGCGUUGUUCGGAAUCACUGGGCGUAAGGCGUGCGUAGGCUGUUUCGUAAGUCGUGUGUGAAAGGCGCGGGCUCAACCCGCGGACGGCACAUGAUACUGCGAGACUAGAGUAAUGGAGGGGGAACCGGAAUUCUCGGUGUAGCAGUGAAAUGCGUAGAUAUCGAGAGGAACACUCGUGGCGAAGGCGGGUUCCUGGACAUUAACUGACGCUGAGGCACGAAGGCCAGGGGAGCGAAAGGGAUUAGAUACCUGGGUAGUC
rnacentral:rRNA from 1 species